GAUAGCUCAGUUGGCUAGAGCAUAGUGCUGAUAACCCCAAGGUCGCAGGUUCAAUCCCCCUGUGGGACA